GAUCCUGGCUCAGAUUGAACGCUGGCGGCAUGCUUUACACAUGCAAGUCGGACGGCAGCACAGAGAAGCUUGCUUCUUGGGUGGCGAGUGGCGAACGGGUGAGUAACAUAUCGGAACGUACCGAGUAAUGGGGGAUAACUAAUCGAAAGAUUAGCUAAUACCGCAUAUUCUCUGAGGAGGAAAGCAGGGGACCUUCGGGCCGUUGCGUUAUUCGAGCGGCCGGACUAUCUGAUUAG
rnacentral:rRNA from 1 species